UCGUCACUCUCCUCUCUCCCCUCUCAAACCAGUCAUCGUCCAGGACUUGAAACUCACUCGUCUCCUUCGUCUCUCUGUCUCUCACAUUACCAGUUUGCCCCAAAUAGGAAAAUACCACAUCGAUUAAAGAAGGGUAGAAGACGACAGUGGACCACGUCGAUUGAUUCGCUGGAGUAGACCAUCGUGAGUACCACGUCGCUCCGAUCAUCCCUACUUAGGUUCUCCCUCGUCUCUCACAUCGCUUGAUUCCAUCAUUCAAUCUCUAUGAUCUUGGUGGCCCGCUCAGGCCAUCUCUCUGACUCCCAAUAAUUUCCACUAAAUCAGUUGCCAAGAGGCGUAUUGCUCUUCUUUAAUCGCCAAUUUCAUCAAGUUACUUGUGCUUAAGGUUAUCUUCGCAAACCAGCUAGCAUAACGAAUUUGGUGAGGAGACGAAUUUGAUGUAACUAGCACUUCUAGGAGCUGGUAAACAACCUCAUGUACAAAUAUUUUAGUUCCAAUGCAUCAUUUCUAUCUUCAUAAUUUCUAUAUUCCCACAUAAAAAAAAACUAAAAGCUUUGAGAAGGUUGAACCUGUCACUGCUUUCUAUUAAAAUGAAAGAUAAUCACUUGUGAAACUUGUCUGAAUCUCUUGCAUUUCUAUAUCUGUUACAUAAAAAAACAAACAGAAAAAAUGAAAGAUAAUCACUUGUGUUGUCAUGGUUGCUGCUGCAAGCAUUCAGGUUCUGGAAUACUACUAUGCUUUAAUAUUCUCUAUGAUUCAUAAUUUCUUUUUUGCAUAUUAAUGGUUCUUCUUUUAUUGAUGCAGCUCAAGGAGAUGGAAGAAGUUACAAUCUCUGAACAACCAAUUGGGAAGAAAAAAGUGUUCCCUAAUUUUUUAUUCUUAAUGAGGAUUAUUUAUUUUGUAACACUAUUGUUUGUAAUUUGUCAAGGCUAUGUUGUUUUUGCUGUGUUGUUUUUUCCUGUUGCUGUUUUAUGUUUAUUGUUUGUAAUUUUUCAUUUUUUGUCAUCUAUACUUGUUAAAUUUCUCUUGAUGGGAAA